GAAUAAAGCGUGAAGGAUAACGUUGCGUCAGCAACGGCCCGUAGGGCGAGGCGAAGCCGAGUCAUCCUGCACGACCCACCG
rnacentral:sRNA from 1 species